GUGGAAGGUUUGUAGCAUCACAGAAGUGAUCUGAGCUCAAGGAAAGAUACAGAGAUAUUUUAAAACCUUUUACACCGGAUACAAGCAGGAGAAUUAACAACUUUUCAGUUUUUCCUUUUGAAUUUAAAAGAAGAAAGAAUGGGUGUUGGAUUGGUGAUAUCAGUUUUCCUGGUGCUAACAGUUGCUGUGAAACCAGGAAACACGCAAACAACCACAGUACCACCGACAACGACAACGACCACAGCACCACCUACAACAACAACGACCACAGCACCACCUACAACGACAACCACGGCACCAACAACAACGACCACGGUACCACCUA